rnacentral:rRNA from 1 species
UACGUAGGGUGCAAGCGUUGUCCGGAAUUAUUGGGCGUAAAGAGCUCGUAGGCGGCUUGUCACGUCGACUGUGAAAACCUUGGGCUUAACUCAGGGCUUGCUUUCGAUACGGGCAGACUAGAGGUAUGCAGGGGAGAACGGAAUUCCUGGUGUAGCGGUGAAAUGCGCAGAUAUCAGGAGGAACACCGGUGGCGAAGGCGGUUCUCUGGGACGGUACUGACGCUGAGACGCGAAAGCGUGGGGAGCGAACAGG